CCCUUAGAUGUUCUGGGCUGCACGCGUGCUACACUGAUAUUGCCAAUAUGUCAUUCUUAUCCGAAAUGGAUUGGGUAAUCAAGUAAUGAAAUUUCAUGCUUGGAAUCGGUAAUUGCAAUUUUAUCGUGAACGAGGAAUUCCUAGUAAGCACUAGUCAUCAGCUAAUGUUGAUUAUGUCCCUACCCUUUGUACACACCACCCGUCGCUACUACUGAUUGGGUGUUCAAGUGAGAUGCUUAGACCCUUGUUGCAUGGUUCAUUAUUGUGCUCCGAAAGGAAAAAGUUUCAAGCUUGAGUGUCUAGAGGAAGUAAAAGUCGUAACA
rnacentral:rRNA from 1 species